AUACCGGGCCUUUUUGGGCUUGGUAAUUGGAAUGAGGGAGAGUUAAACGGACCAUCGAGUACCCAUUGGAGGGCAAGUCUGGUGCCAGCAGCUGCGGUAAUACCAUCUCCAAUAGCGUAUAUUAAAGUUGUUGCAGUUUAAAAGCUCGUAGUUGGACUUGUGUGCGCUGUCCGCGGGUGGCCUGCGCCCAAAAGGGCGUUUCGGUUCGGCCCCGGUGGCGCCUUGAAAUCUGCAGUUGGGGGGACGUUGGCCUUAACUGGUCGGCGACCGCACGCCGGCUGCUCGGUUACUGUGAGAAAAUUAGAGUGUUCAAGGCAGGCAUUGGGUGCAAUUGAAUACAUUAGCAUGGAAUAAUAAAAUAUGGCUCCUGCCGUAUUUUGUUGGUUUUGACUGGUGGGAGUAAUGAUUGAUAGGGACGGUUGGGGGUGCUAGUAUUGAGCGGCCAGAGGUGAAAUUCAUGGAUUCGCUCAAGACUAACUUAUGCGAAAGCAUUCACCAAGGACGUCCUCUUUAAUCAAGAACGAAAGUUGGGGGAUCGAAGACGAUCAGAUACCGUCGUAGUCUCAACCAUAAACUAUGUCGACUUGGGAUCGGCGGUAGUUUUUUCAUUAAGACACUGUCGGGACCACGGGAGAAAUCAAAGUGUCUGGACUCUGGGGGAAGUAUGGUCGCAAGGCUGAAACUUGAAGGAAUUGACGGAAGGGCACCACCAGGAGUGGAGCCUGCGGCUUAAUUUGACCCAACACGGGGAAACUUACCAGGUCCAGAGAUGUAGAGGAUUGACAGAUUGAAGCUCUUUCUUGAUCACUUCGGUGGUGGUGCAUGGCCGUUCUUAGUUGGUGGAGUGAUUUGUCUGGUUAAUUCCGUUAACGAACGAGACCUCAGCCUGCUAGUGUAGUCGGCUGGAUUGCCUUUGGCGAUCCGUGAUUUCGACUUCCUAGAGGGACAAUCGACGCGCAGUCGAUGGAAGUUUGAGGCAAUAACAGGUCUGUGAUGCCCUUAGAUGUUCUGGGCCGCACGCGCGCUACACUGCUGGGCUCAGCGAGUUUUACUUGGCCGAGAGGCCCGGUUAAUCUUGUGAAAUCCCAGCGUGCUUGGGCUCGCCUCCUGCAACUGGAGGCGCCAACGAGGAAUUCCUAGUAGACGCAGGUCAUCAACCUGCAUCGAUUACGUCCCUGCCCUUUGUACACACCGCCCGUCGUUCCAUAAGAGUGAGGCAUCCGGUGAAUUCUCGGGAGAGCCUGGGCGUGGCCAGCAAUGGUCUGCUCGGGUUUGAACUUGCAUAAACUUGGUGCCUAUGAUUAGGG
rnacentral:rRNA from 1 species